rnacentral:rRNA from 1 species
GGAGGAAAGUAGGGGAUCGCAAGACCUUGCGCUUUUGGAGCGGCCGAUGCCUGAUUAGCUUGUUGGUGAGGUAAAAGCUCACCAAGGCUCCGAUCAGUAGCUGGUCUGAGAGGACGACCAGCCACACUGGGACUGAGACACGGCCCAGACUCCUACGGGAGGCAGCAGUAGGGAAUUUUGGACAAUGGGGGCAACCCUGAUCCAGCCAUGCCGCGUGAGUGAAGAAGGCCUUCGGGUUGUAAAGCUCUUUCAGCCGGAACGAAACGGUCACGGUCAAUACCCGUGACUACUGACGGUACCGGAAGAAGAAGCACCGGCUAACUACGUGCCAGCAGCCGCGGUAAUACGUAGGGUGCGAGCGUUAAUCGGAAUUACUGGGCGUAAAGCGUGCGCAGGCGGUUUUGUAAGUCAGAUGUGAAAUCCCCGGGCUUAACCUGGGAACUGCGUUUGAAACUACAAAGCUAG